rnacentral:lncRNA from 1 species
UAAUCCCUAAUAAUUUUGAAGAAUUUUAAUUGGACCAACCAAUCAGCGAAUUGGAAAGACGAGCGGUCUAAUAAUCGUUCGCAAAAAAAAAAACACAAUCCGGUAUUUUCAUUGGUUGUUUCUUGUCUAGUAAUAACCAACGAGAUUACAGUAUCUCAAAGAAUCACGAUGAUGAUAUGGUGCGUUAUAACAUUUACAUAAAUAUAAAAACCAAAUAAUAUUUUAUAAUGCAACGAACGGAAAAAGAAGAAAAAUAACAAUUUGUAAAAAAAGAAAACGAAGGAGAAAUUUUAAAGGUGACCACACAUGUCAUUUGUCUACAUCGUGGCAAAGUAAGCAUUUCUUAACACAGAAAUGCGCCCUUCUUUCCCUCACUACGCGUAAUUCUUUUUACUUAACCCUAAAAACGUGCAGGAUUCUUGCGCGCAAAAACACGUACGCCGGCUACGGAUGUUGUACCUGUGAAUAGUGUUUUUUAAGCUCUUAGUUUUUAAUGAAUUGUGCUGUAAGUGAAGAAGAACGCACGCGAUAGGAUUAAAUUUUGUAAACCAUGAAUAAAUAAAAAAUUCGCGUUGUUUACGGAUAAGUCUUGUCGUGGAACUAAUGUAAUACAGACAAUUCGAAGUAUCAACAAAAUGUUUUACAAGGAUGUGGUUAAUGAACGCACAGUACGUUGAUGGUUCGACAAGUUCGGUUUGGUAAUUUUGAUCUUCAAAAUGAAUCACGUGAGCGACCUAAGAGCAAGGUGGA